rnacentral:rRNA from 1 species
UACGAAGGGGGCGAGCGUUGUUCGGAUUUACUGGGCGUAAAGGGCGCGCAGGCGGCGGACCAAGUCAGGCGUGAAAGCCCCGGGCUUAACCUGGGAGGUGCGUCUGGGACUGGUUUGCUAGAGAUCGGGAGAGGAGAGUGGAAUUCCCAGUGUAGAGGUGAAAUUCGUAGAUAUUGGGAAGAACACCGGUGGCGAAGGCGGCAUCCUGGACCGACACUGACACUGAGGAGCGAAAGCCAGGGGAGCAAACGGG